AUUCUAACUAUCACAAAUCAUCGUCUCCCUUUCUCUCCUAUAUAUAGUGUUUAUAUAGCCGGCCGCCAUUCCACGGUGUCGCCACCGUCUCAUCGCCGGCACCGCCUCUUGAGAAAAAAGCCAAAAUCACAACAACAGAGCCGCCCCUGCUGUUGUUUGUGUUGAAGAUAUAGAAGGGCGAGCGUGAAUCACCUCUGUUGUCCUCACCGACGGUGUAAACAAGGCGAAGGGGUUCGACAGGGCGAGCGUGUCCUGAGGGAGUGGAGUAGGAGGAGGUUGGCAUCGGAGAUCGAAAAGGCUGGCAUUCCUGAUUGAGAAGAAGGGAAAUGGGGGCGAGGGGCUGCUGCUGAUGAGUUGCUGACAGGAGAAGGCGGUGAGCGGCCUAAAGUGAUUUUUCGAGGGAAAAAAUAUUUGGGAUCUUAUAGAAUAAAUUAUUUGUGAUUUUUAGGGUUUAAGAAUGUUAAUUAUAUUAUAUUAUAACGACGUCGUUACAUAUGUACACUUAUAAAAUUAAAUCCAUAUCAGUACCACAUCACUUUUAUA